ACAUUUUUUUUAUUAAUGGCAUGUCUUUUUCCAAAUCAAGUAGAGGAAAAAAUUAUGGAAUCAUCAACAAAAAAAACACAAUUAAUACUUUGUUGCUCCUCCUCUGGCUUUUAUUCUUUGAGGCAUAGACCUCACUAAUGAAAAACAAUAUUCCCCAUCAAUCUGGUUCUCGAAUAGCAGUUGACAGAUCAGCUUUGCAGGGUGGAGCCUUAACAUGGACCAGUUUUUUUACUUUCCGCCAUAAAUUUUCAAUUGGAUUGAGAUCCGGACUGUUUGCUGGCCAUGUCAUUGAGUUGAUAUGCCUUUCCUGAAAAAAAGCUUUAAAACUGUUUGCUCUGUGGCAAGAUGCAUUGUCAUCCUGAAAAAUUAUUUUCAUUAUUUUCACCUAUUUUCUAUGGAUGGAAUGAGAAAAUGUCCAAAAUUUCACUGUACAACUGUGCAUUGACUGCUGAGGUAAUGACUGCCAUCUCCCCUGGUCUUUUACCUGACAUGCAACCCAAUAUUAUAAAUGAGUUGGGAAAUUUGAUUGGUUCGGGCAGUCAUCUUUAUAUGUUUUGUUAGAACGGCACCAGACAAAAGUUCCAGCAUCAUCUCCUUGGCCAAUGCAGAUUCAUGAUUCAUCACUGAAUUUCACUUUCAUCCAAUCAUCCACACUCCAUGAUUGCUUCUCCUUAGCCCACUGUAACCUUGUUUUCUUCUGUUUUGGUGUUAGUGGUGGUUUUCUUUUGGCUUUUCUAUAUAUAAAUCUCAUUUCAUUCAGCCGGUUUCUUACAGUUCUGUCACAAACAUUGACUCUUGUUUCCGCCCAUUUGUUUUUCAUUUGUUUUGUUGUGCAUUUUCUAUUUUCAAGGCAUAGUGCUUUGAGUUUUCUAUCCUGAUGCUUUGACAUCUUCCUUAGUCUGCCUGUAUAUGUACCUUUCAUAACCUUCCCAUUAAGUUUAUACUUCCAACAAAUUUUAGACACAGCUGACUGGGAGCAACCAACUUCUUUGGCAACACUCCAUGUUGAAAUUCCUUGUUGAAGGAGUUUUACAAUCCUUUCCAUUGUUUCAACUGACAACUCUCUCAUUGGAGCCAUGUUUCCUUUCAAUUAGCCAAGUCCAACAGCCCAUUAAAGUGUGUAAGCACUCCCUUUUAACUGCUGACUUAUUAGCAUUUUUAGACUUGUCCCAGUAUUUGUUUUAGAAAUGGAAAUUAAAAAUUGAUUCCAUAAUUUUUUCCUCAACAUUGAGUGAUUCCAUAAUUUUUCCUCUACUUGAUUUGGAAAAAGACAUGCCAUUAAUAAGAAAAAAUGUCCUUGAAUUUUUUUAUGUGUGUUUCACAAACCAGAAUGUUAAGCUAUUGAACAAAACCUUUUUUGUGUCAUAUCUGUGAUUUGUUUGUUUGCUAUAAAGUAAAAAAGCUGGGUGAACAUCCUCUAAGUGUGGUGAUUCCAUAAUUUUUGCCAGGGGUUGUAAAAGAAAACAUAUGUGUGCAGUUUACUGGGUUACUGCAAACUUGCCUGAAUAAUACAGAUCGCCACUACACUCCAUUCAGAUUGGCCUUUUGUGCAACACUGCAACAGUAAGACCGUGUGGUUAUGACAAAGUACUGUACCCACUUCUUUGUCAUUUAGCCUCUCUCAAACAGCAUGGGGUCUACAUUGAGCGUCUUGGUAAAUGUGUUAAGGGAACAGUGCUCUAUGUGUCUGCAGAUGACCUUGGUGACCACUCUCUUGCAGAAUUUUAUGACGGCUUCUUUGUGGAUAGGUUUUGCAGAUUUUGCAUGGCAUACAGGACUGAUGCACAAGUCCAAGAAGUGCAUUUCAACUAAGACAGAUAAUACACACAACAGGCAGGUGCAAGAAUCUUUGCAGUAUCCAAAUUUGGGUAGAAACACAGGUGUUACAGGACAAUGCCCACUGACAGCAAAUUUGGAUCAUUUUCAUGUCAUUGGUGGUUAUCCCCCUGAUAUAUUGCAUGAUGUUAGAGGAAAUAGUCCCAAUGGAGUUGUCUGUUUGCAUCAAAGACCUGGUGGCAAAGAAAUACAUCACCCUAGAUGUGUUGAAUGAAGCUAUCAAAUCAUUUCUCUGACAAAACUGAUCAGCCUCAGCAGAUUUCAAAGGAUAUCUCCACCAAGCACACACUUGGGGGAAAUGGGCAUGAGAACUGGUGUCUAAUUAGGCUUCGACCUCUGCUUAUGUAUGCCAGUACAUUCCUAUGGGUGACAACACACGGGAAAUACUCAUGCUCCUCAAGGAUAUUGUUGCACUAACUGUGGCACCUCAAUUAACUGCUGAGUCGUUAUACAUCCUUGACUACAAGGUGGUAGAGCAUAGGGACCUUUUGCAGUCAGCCUUCCCUGAUUUUAGACUAUGACCAAAACACCACUACAUUGAACACUAUGCUGACCUGACCGGCUGAAGUCUGGACAAUGCACUUUGAAGGAAAACAUCAGUUCUUCAAAAAGGUUAUACAUGAUGCCCAGAACAUCAAGAAUGUUACCUUGACACUUGCAGUGAAACACCAGAGGGCUCUUAGCCAUCAGCUAGACUGCAAUUUUUUUCAAGCUGGCUGUGGAAAUGGCUAAGGUUACAUCAGCGUUAGUUACUACCUUCCCAGAGAACGUUCAGAGAACACUUGGUCAGAAAACUCCUCAAACAGAAGCACUUCUUUUUGCAUCAUCUGUCUGUAUUAAAGGGAUUGAUAUAAGACAGAAAUGAUACUUUCAGCUGGAUCAUGUUCAGUGCUACCUGAGUUUAAGUAGAUCACUCACAUUAUUGCUGUGAACACAGAGGUACUGUUUGUGUGCAAAGUCAUGACAUCAUGGUAUUUUGAACACCUUUGAUCAUAUGAUGCAGAUAUGCCAGGUUGAAGACCUAAAUGAUAUUCUUCCACUGUCAGCCUAUGGUGUACAUCGUAAACUGAUGGUGACAUUGAAGGUUUUGAUUCUUUGCUAAAUUAACUCUCUUUUGUAUUUUCCCCCAGAUGGAUUCUCAAGAACCCAUGAUUUUGAGAGUUAUUCUAACAGAAGCUUAUAUCAGAAAAAUCACACUGACUACAAAACCCUGCUCAGUUGAUAGAUUUGAUAAGUUGUUACUAGAGUAUAACUUUACCAUUUCGAGAUCCAGAGUUUGAUAAUGAACUUUGCAAUCUGACUGAUUUGUCAGAGCUCCCUCAUAAACCAACUGUGAAAAUCAUUCCUGUGAUUGAUUUGUUGCCACUGUCAUCAAGUGAAACGCAGUGACAAUAUUGAGUGAUACUUCAAUUACGGCAGAUACAGUAUUGUUCUCCAAAACUCCAAAUGGAACGCACCUAAAAGUGACAAAGGAAUUGAAACAUGACAUUCUUCAGAAGCUGGCAGAGACCAUAUACUCCUUCAAAGCAUACUCAACUGCUGAUGAUGUACGAGCUCUUGCUAAUGUACGAGCUGUUGUCUUCAAGAACCGGGAUCACCUUCUGGAUACUGUGGGUGGACAAACAGUUUGAAAAGCAUACCAAACUGCUGAUGAUGUACGAGCUGUUGCUAAGGCAUUGGUGGAUGCUCACCCCUGUCUUCAAGAACCGGGAUCACCUUCUGGAUACUGUGGGUGGACAAACAGUUUGAAAGACAAAAUUGGCAAUUACAGGUCAAAAAUCAGGAGCCUUGGACACACAGACAUCAUGGUUAAUGCUGGGAAAAGGAGAUAUUCGACUAGCAGUGAUACACCUAACAAGAACAUUAAGAGACCAAGGAAAGGGGAGGUCAACUACCUAUCUGACCUUCCAGAUAGGCAGAAUGCCUCCAUUCUUGAAAUAUCCAGACAGCAAUUGGUGGAUGAAAUGAAGAAAAAAACACCUAGUGCAGUUGUUAUCAAUCGGAAGAUGGACCUGACACUGUCUUUACAAAGAAAGGAUGUUGUGAUCGACAAGCCUCCUGUAAGCCAGAUUCUUCAGCAUUGGCCAGCACUGUUUGUGAAAGUCAGGUGUACCAAGAAUUCAGUUGAGUGGUUGGGAAGAACCUUAAACAAGAAUUCUAUGGUCUCUUGAUCGUCACUAUCCAAAACUGAUUUCAAAGAGGGUCAAAGAGAGGUCUGACAAGAAUUUGAGUGAGGAUCUGCAACAAACCAAGGGUUAUAUAUUUAAGUUGAUGCCAGUGUCAGCAUCAUUUUGAAGUCAGCCUGUUAUGAUUACUUCAAGACUGUUAUGUAAGGUGGACAAAAUAAUAAUUGAUGGAAAUUUCCUCCCUUUGAUGUUGACAAAUGAUACAAUAUUGUCUCUGCCACCACUGCAAUUCAGAUCGCUGACGUGAGAUGUGUUGCCAUGAGAGGGCUUCCAGUAAUUAUUGGUGAUGAUCGAACUGAGUUCUUCAAAACAUGCUUUAUGGGGAACAAGGAGCAGCAGGAGAAGCUGCUGUGUGAUGGACGGAGGGAUGUUCGCCACCAGGAAGAAGAGCUGCCUACGGAGGAACCAUGCUCUUGUCACUCAGAUGGUGGAAAAAUGGCUGGACGGGUACUGAUAGCUCUACACGUACCCCUCCCUUUCAGAUGGAGAGGAGGACAAGGACUAUGAGUGACGAGUGAUGCAGCUAAAGGAUGCACCCUGACAUGGACUUGGAAUGAGGUUCCCCACCCACAACAGGCGAAUGGACAUUCUUGUGGUGUCCAUGUUGUAAUGGGAAACGCUGGCUAGUGUACGUGUCAUCCUGCAAUCAAGCCUGAUUCUACAUCAGCCUUCAGCUUGUUAACUCACACAUUUGGUCCACAGGCAGUUGAUGGGGUACUAAGUUUCAUCAUAGAGAGCUUAAAUGAAAUAUGUUGAAACUUUAUACAUUUUGGCUACUUGCACCAAAUGUCUUGUGCAUCUUCAGGCUGUUUAAUCAGACUGUAACCUCUGUUCUGUUUUGUUUAGACUGAUGGUUCAUUUCUCCAGGACACUUUCUUAAUUGAUUUUAUUUAGUGGGUCAAACUGGUUUAUUUUUGUAUAAUAUAGAGCUCUGUAAAUUUUUCUGUGAUAUAUAAUAAAGGACAAAAAUGUAUUUCAAUGGAACGGAUAAUGCAAGAUUACUGCUUAUAAAAGAUACACAAACAAAUAAAACUUCCUUAACCAAUGUGGUCUGAGUGAUAUCACAAUAAUCAUAUUUUGUUCAUUUCAAUAACUCAUGUACAAAGAUUAUCGUACACCUAAAACAUUUGAUGUAAUUCAUGGAAUUAUCUUUUCAGACUAUAAAAUCUAUUACAUACGGGUUCUUCAGGAAACAAUAUUGUUUAGGAAUUAAUAUCCAAUUUACUGCAAGAUGUUGAUAUUAGUUCAUUUUAUCCUCAAUUAUUAAGAUCAGAGCCAUUAGAUUUAAGGUGUUCACAAGGUAUCCUGCAUCUGGCCCUGCAUUUAUUUUUUUCAUAGGAUUUCUUGCUUUUUCUUGCUUUUUUUUUAACUGUUUUUAAACCCUUCUAAAUUUGUAUCUGCAAUGCAAACCUUCUUGAAAACUCAAGUCAAGUCGUCAAGUGGAGUUUAUUGUCAUUUCAACCAUAUACAGCCAGUUAGUACAUAGUGAAACGAAACAACGUUUCUCCAGGACCAAGGUGCUACAUAGACAAACACAGAACAACACAGAACUACAAGGGACUACAUAAAUUUACAUAAAGUGCACAAGUGCAAACAUGUGCAGACAGCACAAGACAGUGACUACUGGGAUAGACAAUGGGCACAGUAAGUCCCAGUGCAGCGCCAACCAGUGCACAAAACUGACCAGUAUACAAAACUUAAUGUUUUAGUGGGUUUUUUUGUGUUUUUUCGAUAUGUGGAAAGAGUGGCUGUAUCUUCCUUGAAGUGUCAUUGGAACAAUGUCUUUUAUACAAAAGACACCUAACUUCUUGGUGCACAAUAACAUGCAGAUUAUUUAUUUGUGUUUUACUGGUCUCUGGAAUGGUCUGCCAACUUCUGACAAUUGCAAGAAUGUCUAGUUUCUGUGAUGUCUGUGUGCAUCUCUCUUGUUGCUCAAAAGAUGUAUCAGGAUAGUUAGAUUUAUCCACAGGACAGAACCUUUCUUCAUUAAUGGUUAUGCCAAACAAG